rnacentral:rRNA from 1 species
UGGGGAAUUUUCCGCAAUGGGCGCAAGCCUGACGGAGCAAGACCGCGUGCGGGAGGACGGCCUAUUGGUUGUAAACCGCUUUUGAUAGGGAAGAAGCUCUGACGGUACCUAUCGAAUCAGCAUCGGCUAACUCCGUGCCAGCAGCCGCGGUAAUACGUAGGGUGCAAGCGUUGUCCGGCAUUAUUGGGCGUAAAGAGCUCGUAGGCGGUUUGUCGCGUCUGCUGUGAAAAUCUGAGGCUCACCCUCGGC